UACGGAGGUGGCAAGCGUUGCUCGGAAUCACUGGGCGUAAAGGGCGCGUAGGCGGGGAGGUAAGUCGGGUGUGAAAUCCCUCGGCCCAACCGAGGAACUGCGCCCGAGACUGCUUCUCUUGAGUCCCGGAGAGGAAGAUGGAAUUCCCGGUGUAGCGGUGAAAUGUGUAGAGAUCGGGAGGAACACCGGUGGCGAAGGCGGCUCACUGGUCCACUACUGACGCUGAGGUGCGAAAGCGUGGGGAGCAAACAGG
rnacentral:rRNA from 1 species